UGAUAAGUGUUUUAUGGCACUUUUUAAAUCCAUAUCCACCUUGUGUGCAAUGUCGGUCGAUCUUCUUUUUUUGAGGAUCGACCAAACAUCAACCUUUAUUUUUUAACUCUUUGUCUGAAAAAUAUUAUGAAUAAACAAUUCAAAAUA
rnacentral:misc_RNA from 1 species